CGGACGGCGUCUUAGCUUCACCUGCUGCUUUGGAUCUCGGCGUCGUGCACACUACUCCGCAUGUUUGUUCUGGUUUGCUUGCAUUCUCUCUAGCGGUUGGACACAAUCACAGUUGUGUCUGUGUCCGCCUGUUCUUUCUGCCCCUUCAAUGGGUGUUCAGGCAGCCUCGCGCGCAAGCUCAAGUGGGACGAUCGGUUCCGUUGGUGCUACUCUGCUUUGCAGAUAUGCGUUCUGGGGCACUUGAUGCUUUUCCUGUCCCUGCCAUGGCGUGUGUUCCUGGUUCAUUCGUUCUUUCUGCCAGGGAAACAUGGAAGGACUCAUACCAGCCAACUGUAUAUAGAUCAAUUUAAGCAGCAGCUAAAGGAAGGUUCGGUCUAUACCAUAGAAAGCUUCAUCGUUGCAGAUGUAUGCUAGAAAUACAGGACAGUAGAUCAGCAAUACUGAAUCAAAAUUACUCAGUGUACAAGGUGAAUGAAGUUUGUCCUGGAGCCUGAAAACAUUACUAUGUUUGCAUACCAUGCAAAGCCCUUUAGAUUUCUAGAGGCGCGAGUAGGAGAUAAUACCCUUCUUUCAGGAAGAUGUCGUCGGUUUGGUGAUGUGGCUAAAAGAGCUUAUUCCUCCCUAGGCAAACCAAGAUCCAAGGAGAAAUAUUGAUGAGAGAUGCAGAGUAUGGCUCAUUAUCCAUUUAUUAGUAGCUCCAUCGUUCCCAGAUGUGUUCACUUCAGAAUUUCAGCUCCACCUUUGAAAAAAAAAAAGGAAGGCCAAAACAUCAGCGACUACAUCAGCCAAGCAGCAGAUCAACAAAGAGCUCUUCUUGCGGUAGCAAAAGUCCGGGAAAAACGGCUUAGCUUACAUGGAGGUUCCAAGACACAAAAGGAAUGAAGCAGCUAAGUCAAAAGAGUGCACUGCUGACGAUCAGAUAUACUUGAUCAAAACGGGACAGCUUAGCUGGAGGUUCUAAGACACAAAAUGAAUGAAGCAGCUAAGUCAAAAGUUACUUACCGUUCUACCCAGCACGUACGUAUUCAGCUAUGUAUAAUAUAGCAGACCUACUUAUGGUUCUUGCUAGCAGCUACUUUGAACGUGCUGUAGUACAAAAUAUCUAAUAUGCUACUAUGUACAAUUAUCUCA